UGCAAGAAGGAGCAUCUGGAACUACACCACUUGGACUCUCUUUUUCUGAAACAGCUGCUUUACAUCUAUAGCUGUGGGCAAGUUUGAGUACUGGUGCGGCUGUGUGCAUCAUGAUCGUCUUCAAGAUCAGAGACAUCUUCAAGUUCUUCUGGGGUCUGUGAAAAGAACAUGACAUUAUUCUUAUGCAUGAACUUUAAAGAUGUCACACACCUGUGACAGAUUACCAGAUUUCCGCCUGGACCUAAUGUAGGUGGUAUAUGGUCCCACUUCCGCAAUGAAUGCACAUAUAAGAAAAAUGUGAAUUCAAGAACAUGAGCUAUUAUUUCAGCCUAUUUAACUAGUUUUUGUGUAGCAUAUAAUUAUAUAACUGAACAUGCACAGCCAGACUGUUUUACCCCCAUAUUUUGCACUGAUCAUUCCUGAUUUUCUUGGAUGUUAUAUUUGUGACAGUUAUGCAUGGCUUACACAAUGCAGUGUUCCUAUCACAAUGCUAUCACAGAAUGGUUUGUGAUUAUUAAAAACAAAUGUUACAAAGUAACCUAUGAGACUUGUAAAAGGAGGCUGAUUUCACCACAUUAUCCUAAUAAUUUGUUAGGAUACAUAUUAGAGUUACGUGUGUGCAAAUGACCUCUCGCAAUUCUCCAGAGAAAUUGGGACCAUGUCAUCAGCUGGAGGUCAGGUGACCAGUGCUGCCUAAUCAUGUUGUCCACUUGUGUUUAAUAAUUCACUAACACUUCAAUAAUAUCUGCUGUCUUCUCUGCUAUAUCUCUGUACCAAAAGCACACAGCCUCAUCUUCCACUAAGGCGUGUGUGCUGCUAUUGUUGUUUUGACAUCUGAGCAGCUGAAAGUGUCCAUUAGCAUUCCAUAAAUCUUUAGUUGUUGAGGUUAGGCCUCAACUGAAGUUAGACUGCUUACAACCAAUAAAAAUUGGUAAUGAAAAACUGCUGGCUUUUGCCACUUUCUUUCACCUGUCCCACCCAUUUGCUCUAAUUUUGGGGUAUAUUUUGCAAAAACAUGGGAUGGUAUUCAACUUUUACUCAGAGUAGACCAAAUGAAAUUACUAGACCUCACUUAGUCAUUUUCAUUAAUGUUAUUUGGUCUACUCUUAAGUAAAAAUUUGUUGAAUACCACCCAUAGUUCAUCAGCUAGACACUUUGAUUUAGUCUGAUACCUCAUUUGUCUCUCUCAGACCAUAGCAAGUGUUCCAAAGCCUGACUUUGCAAACACAUAUUUUAGUUAUGCUCCUUAUUGCUUCAUAUUAAUUGCAUGUUAUUUGAUAUAGUCAGUUAAGUGACCCAACUCUUUUUUCCUGGGAUUAAAAGACACUUGCAUUUUCCAAGAAAGCUCCCUACAUUUUCAAGUUAGAAUUCAAAUGCCAGACCUCUAUGAUGAGAACGUCUGUGUAGGUCUGCCUCUAAUCAUUUAUUUAUCCGCAUAUUUUGAGUUGUGCAUUACCAAACACUCACCCCUAUUUGCAUAGAAACAGACUGCAUUUAUUCAAAUUGCUUUUAAAGAUGAAUAUAACUUUAUAUUGAAAGAGUGAUUGCUCAUAAAGAUUGUAUGUGCUGAAUUCUGAGCUAACAAGGAAUUGGGUUUGACUACAA